UUGGAUGUAUGAGUUCAAGACUGUCAACAGGAAGCCAGUCUUAUACUUUACUUUAUAUCUAAGUUAUGGUAAUAAUUUAGCAGAUCAGGUUUAUUAUGACAAACUCUCUCUCUCUCACACAGUUUUGAUAAAACUUGGUUCUCUUGAGAAUGGACAUACUAUGGACAUAAUAUCUCAUCAUGAACAGUGAAAGUGAAAAAGGUUAACACCACAGGCAGUGCUGCUGUACAAAUAUGAGGCAAAAUAAUCAGUUGGUCAGCAGACAGAAACAGUUGAGUCUAAACCUUUUUCAAUGCUAGUUAAGGAUCUAUAGGCCUAGUUAUCACGUUUCACGUUGGAUUUCUUAACUACAAAAAGGUCAGGUGGAAAUGUCCGACAGAUCUCCACUCCAUAAAAGGAGGAAAUCACCAUCGCCUGAUCGCGCUGCUUUCUCUUCCUUCACUCUGUCAAAUCCAGAAGUUCUGUGCGUCCAUGAAUCCACCGACUCUGUUCCCUAUCAUCUGAACAUUCAUCUGAACUAUCUGUUGCGAUCGGGAGAGUGGGCCAUCAGUUGUUGUUUGAAGUUAUUAUCGCAGAGCCCGGCUUGGAGCGCACGCUUCAAACAUUUUGUGUAAUGUGACUGGUCAAUGAUUCCGGCCCUACGGAUCAUAAUAGGUCAAUUAUGCAAUUGGUAUGGUUAAUAUGUAAUGAAAUUCCAUGUACACAUGAAGACACUUGAAAGGGUGAAAUAAGAAAGUAAUUGUUUGUUGAACUGAUCGGCUCUGAUAUCCAACUAAUGGCGAUUAUAGAUUGAAUAACCGAUCACUGUUUGUAUUCUUUCAUGAUUUAUGAUAAAUAGUUACGAGCCUAAAUUACUCACCGAUGAUUCCUAUUGACGUAAUGAACUGGAUUGUUGAAUUCCCUAAAUGAUGUUAAUAAUGAAUGAUUGUUAUGAUUAGAUCUUUGUGAUGAUGGAUUUGAUUGGAUACACGUUAUUCUAUUUCCUUUGUUAUGCAGCACAGACUACCCAGUAAAUAUACCACUUUAUGGUUAAAGGAA